rnacentral:rRNA from 1 species
CGGCGUGCCUAACACAUGCAAGUCGUACGAGAAAGUUGGCUUCGGCCGAUGAGUACAGUGGCGCACGGGUGAGUAACGCGUGGAUAAUCUGCCCUUAAGUGUGGAAUAACGUACCGAAAGGUGCGCUAAUACCGCAUAAUGCCUGGCAACAUAAGUUGUCCGGCCAAAGAAGGCCUCUGCUUGCAAGCUUUCGCUAAAGGAUGAGUCCGCGUACCAUUAGCUAGUUGGUGGGGUAACGGCCUACCAAGGCGACGAUGGUUAGCUGGUCUGAGAGGAUGAUCAGCCACACUGGAACUGAGACACGGUCCAGACUCCUACGGGAGGCAGCAGUGAGGAAUAUUGCGCAAUGGGGGCAACCCUGACGCAGCAACGCCGCGUGAGUGAGGAAGGUUUUCGGACUGUAAAGCUCUGUCGAGCGGGAAGAAGUGUACCAUGGCUAAUAUCCAUGAUAUUUGACGGUACCGCUAGAGGAAGCACCGGCUAACUCCGUG